AUGCAGAGGAACCUGGGAGCUGUGCUGGGGAUUCUGUGGGUGCAGAUUUGCUGGGUGAGAGGAGAUCAGGUGGAGCAGAGUCCUUCAGCCCUGAGCCUCCACGAGGGAACCGGUUCUGCUCUGAGAUGCAAUUUUACUACCACCAUGAGGGCUGUGCAGUGGUUCCGAAAGAAUUCCAGGGGCAGCCUCAUCAAUCUGUUCUACUUGGCUUCAGGAACAAAGGAGAAUGGGAGGCUAAAGUCAGCAUUUGAUUCUAAGGAGCGCUACAGCACCCUGCACAUCAGGGAUGCCCAGCUGGAGGACUCAGGCACUUACUUCUGUGCUGCUGAGG